AUUGAACGCUGGCGGAAUGCUUUACACAUGCAAGUCGAACGGCAGCACGGACUUCGGUCUGGUGGCGAGUGGCGAACGGGUGAGUAAUACAUCGGAACGUGCCCAAUCGUGGGGGAUAACGUAGCGAAAGCUACGCUAAUACCGCAUACGAUCUAAGGAUGAAAGCGGGGGAUCGCAAGACCUCGCGCGAUUGGAGCGGCCGAUGGCAGAUUAGGUAGUUGGUAGGGUAAAGGCCUACCCAGCCGACGAUCUGUAGCUGGUCUGAGAGGAUGAGCAGCCACACUGGGACUGAGACACGGCCCAGACUCCUACGGGAGGCAGCAGUGGGGAAUUUUGGACAAUGGACGCAAGUCUGAUCCAGCCAUUCCGCGUGCAGGAUGAAGGCCCUCGGGUUGUAAACUGCUUUUGUACAGAACGAAAAGGCUCUGGUUAAUACCUAGGGCUCAUGACGGUACUGUAAGAAUAAGCACCGGUUAACUACGUGCCAGCCGCCGCAGUAA
rnacentral:rRNA from 1 species